AAUACCCGUCUUCCCGACAGGACCUUUUCAGCCCCAGCCUCCGCCCUCGGCCCUUGGCCGCGCCUCCGUUUUCCUUUGCAUUAUCUUUUGCACCGCCCACAUCUGAGCGGAAAGCUACUGAAAUUAACCCAAAGAUGAGCUGAAAAGUACUGAAAUUAACACACAUCAACCAUUAUUGUUGGUAUACCUGUUUUUGUUACCGGGGGAGUGCAUAGACAUGGCGAGCAUACAAUGGAUAUAUACUCUGAUCUCACAGAGCUGGGAAGGACACCAGUGGCGGUUGUCUCCGCUGGUGUAAAAUCUAUAUUAGAUAUUCCAAGGACACUGGAAUAUUUGGCACUUAUUCACUUUGUCGACAAGUUUUUUUCGAAAGAUUCCGGCUUCAUACUGAAUUAUCAAUCUUUAUACGUUAGUGCAACAUUGUAAGUUUUUGUUGUUAAUACAGGAAACAGGGUGUUUGUGUGGCUGCUUACAAGACCAAUGAGUUUCCUGUUAUUUUUACUCAAACAAGUGGCUGCAAGGUAUAAAUAGACAACUCAUAGAACAUCGUAUCAAGGUGCCUUGUCGGGUCGAUAGCCCAGAAGAAUGUGCACGAUUAAUCAGCAAGUGACAAAAUUCAUUCGAUCGUAUCUUCAGUUCAUUAAGAGCUAGUAGUUUUGUCUUCAUGACUUUUUUUCCCUUAACUACAGAUGCAAACAGGAAACUCAAUCUCGGAAAUGGAGUAUUGAUUGCAGUUCCCAUCCCAAAAGAACACACGGCUUCGGGAAGCUUAAUGGAGUCUGCAAUACAACAAGCCCUUACAGAGGCUAGGGAAAAGAACAUAACAGGGAACGCCGAGACUCCGUUCUUGCUUGCAUGGGUUAAUGAAAUAACUGGAGGAGCAUCACUUGCUUCUAACAUUGCGCUUGUGAAAUACAAUUGUCAUGCCCUCAUAACCUUCAAGUCCAAACUGUCACCCUUCAGACCUUAACUCUGAUAUUCCGACAGUUUGGGUUUGAAGGUUGUGAGGGUGUGAAACAAUGCAGCUAUUGGAGCCAAGAUAUCUGUAGCCCUGUCCAACCUCUCCCCAAAUAACAUUGUGUACAGCUACACUAUACGGAGUUGCUG